rnacentral:tRNA from 1 species
CGGGGUGUGGCGCAGUUUGGUAGCGCACUUGGUUUGGGACCAAGGGGUCGCAGGUUCAAAUCCUGUCGCCCCGACCA